AAAGAGAGAAACAGGAGCCGGAGCAGGGAGAGGUUGGGAAGAGGCCUGGACAGGCCCAGGCCUUGGAGGAGGCGGGUGAUCUUCCUGAAGAUCCCCAGAAAGUUCCAGAAGCAGAUGGUCAGCCAGCUGUCCAGCCUGCAAAGGAGGACCUGGGGCCAGGAGACAGGGGCCUGCAUCCUCGGCCCCAGGCAGUGCUGUCUGAGCAGCAGAACGGCCUGGCGGUGGGUGGAGGGGAAAAGGCCGAGGGGGGACCGCCGCCAGGCAACGCCGCCGGGGACACAGGGCAGCCCGCAGAGGACAGCGACCACGGUGGGUGUCAGCCUGGGCUGGUGUCGGAAGACACUCCCCUCUUGGGCUGGGGAGGCUGGGCAGGGGCAGCAGAAUCGAUGGUUGCUCCCUCAGUCCCCAGUCUCUCUCCCUGCACCAGAUUAGCAUGCAAAUGGAGCGGGCCCCGGCAGCUGGUGGGGACAGGAAGAGGCUGGUGGCUGACAGCUACUGUAAUAUCUGUCACACAGUUGUUUGCCAGACCACUAAAUGUCAGGUGCCGCGCUGUGCUCGUGUGUCUGGGCGCACACGGGGGGCGGCGCGGGGGGCGCCUGACAGGUAACACGUUGUUAAGUGCCCGUCUAAGAGCUGCUUAGGAUGGUUCUUGCAUUUUAAUUGCGAAGGCAGUUACCAUUGGCUCAUUGCCACAAGCCUAUGAGGUUGUUAAAUAUUUUUUUAUUGCUUCGCUAGUAAUCAUCAGGUUGAAUAUAAACUGUGCUGACGGGGGUGUCACUUUAGAAACAUCUGCCACUUCCUUUUGUCCCACCCUUGCCUUCUGUCCCCCAAACCCUCCCUUGACUUUCCUACAAAACCUUCUGAGUCUUCACCGUGUGUGCAGGUGGGAAGCCUCCCCUCCCAGCGGAGAAGCCGGCUCCAGGGGCUGGGCUGCCGCCCGAGCCUCGCGAGCAGAGGGACGUGGAGCGAGCAGGUGGAAACCAGGCGGCCAGCCAGCUGGAGGGUAAGGCCUCCGCCCUACAGCCGCCUGCCUCAGGCCCAGGGAGCGGCAGCCCCUUCCCCCAGCCCUGGGGUGAUGCCCAGGUCAUCCUAGGGAGCCCUGCCAGGCCGCCCUUCUCUUUCCAGCCGCCUGCUGAGCAGACCCCUCGGAGAGCUUUCUGCUCCCUUCCCAUCAGCAGCUUGCUUUCUGGGAACCUUUUAUCUCUCUUACUCCCCGUUAAACACCUGCGGCAGCGUCACAUGGCUUGUGAUUACCGUUUUAUCUCCCUUACUCCCCUUUAAAACACCUGCGGCAUUGUCACUUGGCUUGUGAUUACCAUUCCGUCUUUAAAGCAGGUUUGUUAACAGUUUUAACACUCGGAGUAUUUAAAGCCAGCCAGGUGUGGGCGUGCCUGCACCCAGAUGUGGAGGUUUAUUUUAAGGCUGUGCCCCAAGGGGACCCGGUUUGGGGGUGGCUGUGCCCGCCCUGGUCCUAGCAGAGCCCUGGCCCAGAGCACUGCUCCCACACCCUCGGGCCUCGGAGCUCGGCUGUGUUCAUCUACAGGGAUCUGUCACCUGUCCCUCCAGGAAAGCUCCUUGUGCCUUUGCUCUCCUGAGAAUAAAACUUGCUCUGAAUCCUC
rnacentral:sRNA from 1 species